rnacentral:lncRNA from 1 species
AGCGCUAAAGUUUCUUAACAGAGUGAAAGAAGCUGCUUUAACAGAGAAGAAAGCUGCAGAGGUGUUGAACUCCGGUUUUGAACUUGGAUAGAAAUGUAGGCGGAUGAACUUUUGACCGGCGGUGACGUUGAAUAUGUAGGUGAAUUGCGAAUGAGAAACGCGUGAUUUAGAAUAUGGGACUUGCUUAUUUUCAGUGACGGUUGUUGAUUUGGGAGCGGAUGCGUCUUCAUGUGGGGAGUAUUGAGAGUUAACAUCUCCAACCCAAGUCUGGCCGGGAGUACUCGUGUUGCCCAACCAGCCACAAGCAAGAAAUAUGUUGCUUUCUACGAGAGGGUAAUUAGAGUCACCGGUGACGACAUCAGAUAGAUGAUGGCAGGAGAAGAAGAAAAAGAAGAAGAAGAAGAAGAAGUGGAAGAUUUUUCUCUAUGUCUCCAUUAAUUUUUUGACAAUUAAUUAAUAGGCAGGCUGCAGCUAUAGCUUUGAUUCUUCAGAUAGCUAGACAUUUAAAGUUAGCAAAUUUUGUAGCAGUAUGUCCGUCUCUGUCAGUUGGGGGCCACAGGCGCCAUGGCGUUCGGACAUGACAAUCAAAAUGAUGGAAAAAUUAAGUCUUCGUCAACUUCUUAGUCUUUGCCCUUUGGCAUCAGUCCAAUCUACUAUCACCCGUAAGGCACUUUCCAUGGCUACUAUUAAUAGACUUGUUUUGAAAUAUCAACUUAUAUACAAACAUACUCUGAAACUUCGUAGUAACCACAAAUCAAUCAAUUGGAUUCCACAAUUAAAUAUACACUUAACAAAUCUAGAUUGGACUUGAACGUUAAAUUAGUGUUCGGUCACUAAAUUAAAAAAUAUUUGUCCAUAAUUGGUUAUUUUAGAAAUACAUGUUUAGCAGUUUAUCGAAAGGUUGAACUAAAUAUAUUAAUGGUGCGUUUACUAAUCAGUUAUUGGAAUAGGCUAGAAUUGAAAUGAGCUGACUUUGAAAUGGGCUAAAAUCGGAAUCAGGAAUGAGAGUUUACUAAUCAGUUAUCGGAAUAGGCUAUAAUCGAAAUGAGCUUAAAUUGAAAUGGGUUAAAAUCGGAAUCAGGAAUGAGAAUUAAAAUAAGUAAUUUACUUCAAUUGUAGGAAUUGGAAUCGGAAUGGAAAUAAGAUUUAUUUUCAUAGAUGUGUUUAUUUUGUCUUGAAAUUGGAAUGAACUAUCAUAAUUUACUAAAAUGCCAUUUGUUAAUUAUUGUCAAUUGACGAGGACAAUAAUAAUAAUAAUAAUAAUAAUAAUAAUAUUAUUAUUAUUAUUAUUAUUAUUAUUAUUGUAGUAGUAAUUAUUAUAAUCAUAAUAAUUAUUAUUAUAAAUUAUAUUAUAAUAAUAUUUUAGUAAAUAAUUAUUAUUAUUAUUAUUAUAAUUAACAAUGGCAUAUAAUUCAGCUAUGCCUAAGCAAUGUCUCUCAAUAAUGUAGUGUCUAGUGUUUUAGAUUAAACUCGAACCGUCUCAUAACUAGGACAAGGAUCUUCUCUCUCUCUCUCUCUCUUGUUUUUUUAGUUUAUAGCCUCUCCUAGUUUAAUGAAUGGCUAAGAAUGAGUUUAGAAUUUAGAUGUUGACAAUCAAGUCAACUUUUUUCACUUUAUUUAUAAUUAAGCCAACUCUUUUCAUUAAAUUUAAAAAAACUAGAAAAGGCUAGGAGAAAAAAAAAUAUUAGAAAAAGAACCUAAUCCCAUAAGUUAAACUCAAACCAUGCAGUACUUAGUUUUAAGGAGUGUAAAUUUGAGUUUUGAAUUUUAAUGUUCACAAACUUAAAAACCAUGCAGCACUAGUGCAAAGCAUGGUAAAUGAUAGCGCUCACUAAGCUUGAAAAACCCAAUAAAUCGUAAAAAAGAGCAUAUUGAGCACUAGGGAUUGGAGCUUUUGGUGACUUGGCUCAAAUGAAGCCAAUUCUUUGUAAAUGGAGAAAUUAUAUAUGGACAAGUUAUAAUAAGAUUCAAUUAUAUCAAAGCAGAUUAGAUAGGAUAAGUUUGGAAUAUUUAUAAUUACAAUUGACCUAUAUCUAGUAAGAGUGCAGAUCAUAAUUAUGAAACUCUACGACAAAUGUACAUAUCUAUUGAAAUAGGGAUCUAGAUGGAUUAAACAUGCAUCUCCUACUCCUCUCCUAUAAAGAGGUUUUAAUACAUUUACAAUCGGAGGCAACAUGCCCGCUGCUAGAGUUAUCACACCGGUAUCGUCAGAUUAGUAAUUUUGUUUAUGAUUUUAUCUAAUAGCAAUUUGUCGUUUUGUUUUUGGUUACAAAUGGGCUCUUAAAUAGUGCUAAAUAGUAACUAGGUGGGGGUAUGAAACCCCAUACAUAUCAUGCGUGAGAAAAGGAAGAACACCAACUUAAGGAUAGUUGAGAAUGUAAAGCCCCAAGGGGAGAGAUAGGGCAUAGCUUGCAAUAAAAUCUGCCAUAAAAUUUGCUUCCCGAUAAACAUGGAUAACGGUGAUAUGCUAGUCAUAUCGCAGGAGAUCCUUUAUAGAUCGAACUAACGGGAUGUAUUCAUUAGGGGAUCACAAAUGAUUACCAACCAGUUGAGUCACACAUAAGCUAUCCAAUUCCACAUUCAACCGGCAAAUACCUUUUUGCCAAACAACAAACAAAUCGUGAAACAACCCCAAGAGUUCCGCAACAAUAACAAAACUAGAACAAAUAUUUAUGCAAAAGCCAACCAAUCAAAUAUUUACGAAAAAGUCCUUCUAUAGGAUCCAAAUCCCCCUAGAGAAACCAGUAGCUUCAACUCUAGGGGAUUUAUCAAAGCCAAUUCUUUUAAUGAAAUCAUUUACUUUAUACCCACUGAUUCUAGGCUCUAGUAAAACAACCAUGACUGGCUUAUAAUUCUUGAUAAGAGAACCAAAAGAGCGACAGAAGACUAGCGAUGUCGCUCCCUGGACAUUCCAAAACAUGAUUGAUAAAGACAUAAAGAUAUGUACGAUAAAAGGAAGAAACACCUCACAUUUUCAGCCUUGAGGCCUUGAUCUCCAAGUCCAUAGCUGAUUCAUUCACAAGACAUAUAUCUCUAUUAGAAGAACUAGACUCGUUAUUAAAAUUCUAAUUAUGCAACCCAAGAGGAGGGAGAAUUGAGAUUAUAAAAAUUAUUCAAUUUUAGAACAAAACUCAAUGCAAAUCUAAAAUUAAUUUAAAGUAAUAAUAAAUAAAUCAAUCACAAUAUAAAAAGAUAAGGGAAGAGAGAUUCAAACACGGAGAUUUUUACGUGGUUCGGCCAACUUGACCUACGUCCACGCCUCCAAGCUUUCCGGGCUUGAGGAUUUCACUAAGUAAGCCUCCAAUGCUUCAAAUGCUUACACUUGACUUCAAAGGUGUCAAUAAACCUUUACAACAAGAGAUUAUCCCCAGUCUCUUAACCCAAGUGUAUCCCAACACUUACAAUCACUCAAAACAAAAAUUAUAAAUUUUGUUCUUCACUCACACAAUACUUAAGAUUACAAAUCAAUGCUCAAUAUGUGAAUAAAUGAAGCAAGAAUGAGUUUAAAGCUCUAUGAAGGUUGUAUUCUCGAUUAUAAGCUCAAUGAUAGUGUUGUGAUCAACCUUUGUUUGAAUUUGAAUGAGCUUAUUUAUAGUUGGAGCUGAAAAAUAGCCGUUACAGACGGUUUGCUCGUAAACAGAUCGCUGUUAACCGUUAACAGUUAACCGUUUGUUCUGAUCAAAGUUACCGUUGAGCCAAAUUUCAAAUUAACGGUUGACUAUUUGUCAUUACCCUUUUGCCGUUAAAUUCCAAAGACCUGCAAAACAAACUCCAGCUAUCCAUUCUUUACUAAAGAAAAACCAAUACUACUCAUGGCUUUCGGACUAAUCCGUCUUGUUCCUUAUAUACAACAUCCCGCAGAGGCACUUGAAAGUACCGCAGUAUCUUAGAAAUGAUACUGCCAUAAGGAAGCAAACGGUGGUUAACCGCAGGAGUAGUCAGCAUAUGGUGCAUAAUAAUAUACCUAAGGUUAAUAGGAUGCCCUGUAAGGGGACUGUCUCAUAGCCCAACAUCCAACCGUGUGACCUCAUCCGAAUGACCCUUCCUAGGUGUAAUGAUAUGCUGUAAAAUAAUAUGAAGGAUACAAACUUGGAAAGGUAACAAUUGAGACCGAAAAGGUGAAUUGCAAAUGUCAUUAAUCAAGUCUCGACGAAAAAAAAUAUUUCGGACACUGAGAUGAUGAGCGAAACUACUAAAUGAGAGGGCUUCCCUGGAUGUAUAAAUCAAAUGGCCAUCAUUAGAAAUUCCUAGAAUAUUGUUCAAGAGCUCAACAUCAAAUUCACUAGGGACACCCCCAACAUGAGUAACAAUCUUAUCUAACCGAGUUUCUGAAAGUUCCAUAUUUGAAUAGAAAACUCGAAUUAGAUUAGGAAACACUUUGUCAUCAAAAUCUAUAGCGGACUCCCAAGGACGUAGCAUAUUUCUAACACUUCUACUACAAACAACUAACUCUUUAAAAUCUUCAAUAUCCACAUAAAAAGGGUCAAGUACCUGUCGGCCCAUGAAAUGAUCCUCGAAACGCUUGGCUAACGCAUUUGUAGGAAAGUGAAUUCUUUCGAAUUGAGAGGGCUCUCGUGGAGGUAUAGGAGUCCUAGGAGGAACUACUUUCCUUCUCCGAGUUCUCUGAGAUGACUUAGCUAUGGUGAAAGACAGAGAAAAUGAGGGAAUUUGAGAAAAGUGGGUUUAGAAGAAAAUUAACCGACUAUUGGGUCAAGAGUGAGUAGAGGAUGUAAUUUUGAGGCUCAAUGUGGUCGAAAAAAGACAAGAAUUAGGUCAAAAAUGAUGAAACUCGAUCGGCUGUCCUUAGGGUUUUGAUUUGGGAUUUUUGAAUUUUGAGCUCAAUUUGAAGAAUUGAAUCUGUGAAAGCGAUCUAAUGAUGAUGGGAAAUGGUUUUAUCAAUGUGAUUUGGCAAGAAAAUGAAGAAAAAUGGAGGAUUAAAGACAGAGAGAGCUUCAGCUGUGCGUUAAUGGCUGAAAUGGUAAGAGGGCAAAUGAAGAGGAAGAAAAAACCCUUGGAACAGUUUUAUAUUUCACGAAAAUGGCGAGCCGUUUUCUAUAAACGGUGAGGGAGUAAGUUCCAGAGAGCACUCAAAAGGGAACGGUUAAAAGUUAGUUGUUAACUAUGAAAGGGUACUAGGAUAUAAUGGCUGUCAAUUACUCCAUUACCGUUUGAUACAAACAGUAAACCAUUUAAAACCAAAGAGCUCACUGGAAUUUACCCUUUACCGUUUAUUGUGAAACAAUUAUCCGUUUAUUUUGUGUAUAAUUUCACACAUUUGAUUUAAUAUUUGGCCAACAAAUAAUACAUUGUAAGAUCAUUUGAUUGAUUCAAAAAUGUUUUAAAAGCCAUUUUUAAUGCAUGAUUCAUGAACUAACAUGUAUUUAAAUAAUCAAUUCAUAUAAACAUUCAAAAAUUUAAAUGUAAACACAUCACGCAUAUAUCAUACUUAAGCAUUUCAUAAAUGUCAUAAAAUCAUCAAAUCAUUAAAUAAUAAAUUCAAUAACAUGAAUAGAGAUGUUAAUGUGAAAAUUUCAUUAUCCCAAGUUCAUGCCGAAUUUUCAAAAAUUAUUCUUCACCAAGAGAUUUUGUAAAAUUAUCGGCAAGUUAUUUUUUCGUAAAAAUAAACUUUAAUGCAAUAUCUCCCUUUUGAAUAUGAUCUCUCAAGAAAUGAUGUCUAAUUUCUAUAUUCUUAGUUCUAGAGUGUUGAAUGAGAUUCUUUGAAAGAUUUAUAGCACUAAUAUUAUUACACUUAAUGGGAAUUUGUUCAAGGUUAAUGCCAUAGUCUCUAAGUGUUUGUUUCAUCCAAAGAGCUUGUGCACUACAACUCCCUGCAGCUAUAUAUCCAGUCUCGGUAGUUGAAAGUGCAACAGAAUUUUGUUUCUUGCUAAACUAUGAAACAAGUGAGUGACCUAGUAGAUGGCAAGUUCCACUAUUGCUUUUCCUAUCAACUUUAUAACCGGUAAAAUCAGCAUCCGAAUAGCAUGUUAAGUCUAUAUGAGUUCCUCUAGGAUACCAAAGGCCAAAAUCUAUGGUUCCACUCAAAUAACGAAAAAUUCUUUUUACAACAAGCAAAUGAGAUUCCUUGGGACAUGAUUAAAAUCUUGCACACAAACAUACACUAAACAUGAUAUCGGGUCUACUUGCGGUUAAGUAAAGUAAAGAUCCGAUUAUACCUCGAUACGUUUUGAUAUCCACUUCUUUGUCUUUUUCAUCUGUGUCAAGCUUAGUUGUUGUGCUCAUUGGAGUGCUUUUGGUCUUUGAGUCAUCAAUGUCAAAUCGCUUGAGUAGAUCUUUCACAUACUUGGCUUGAUUUAUGAAAAUUCCUUCCAUAUUUUGUUUUAUUUGCAGCCCAAUGAAAUACUUCAACUCUCCCAUCAUAUUCAUUUCAAAUUCUUUACUCAUACAAGAUGAAAAUUCUUUACACAACAUAAUAUUAUCAACUCAUUUCAAAUUCUUUACUCAUUAGUAGAACCAAAUAUAAUAUUAUCAACAUAAAUUUGAACAAGUAUAUCUUAGUUCUUAUGCUUAACAAAGAGAGUGGUAUCCGCUUUACCCAUCGAGAAAACGUUAUCUAGCAAGAAAUUUCUAAACCUAUCAUACCAUGCUUUAGGUACUUGCUUUAAUCCAUACAAUGCUUUUGAUAACUUAUAAAUAUGAUUUGGAAAUUUUUCAUUUUUAAAACCAGGGGGUUGUUUCACAUACACUUCUUCUAUAAUAUACCCAUUUAAGAAAGCACUUUUGACAUCCAUUUGAAAUAAAAUAAAAUAUUUAUAACAUACAAAUGCUAAUAGCAUCCUAAUAGAUUCUAGUCUAGCUACGGGUGCAAAUGCUUCAUUAAAAGCAAUUCCUUCUUUUUGGUUGUAUCCUUGAGCCACUAAUUUAGUUUUAUUCCUUACAACCACACCAGAUUCAUCCAUCUUAUUUCUAAAUACCCAAUUAGUACCUAUGACGGAUUGAUGUUCCGGUUUAGGAACUAAUUCCUAUACAUUGUUUCUCUCAAAUUGAUUCAACUCCUCUUGCAUUGCCAUAAUCCAAGAUUCAUCAUUUUCCGCAUCCGCAAAGGAUUUCGGUUCAAUUUGAGAAAUAAAUGUAGCAUGCUCACAAGUAUUUUUGAAUGAUGAUCUAGUGGUAACAUCUUUUGAAGGAUCUCCUAAAAUUAAAUCCUUAGGAUGAGAAGUAACAUACCUCCACUCCUUGGGGAGUGUUUGAGAAAUACCUUCUUGUUCCUCCAUAUUUGUUUGCUCUUCUUGUCUAUCCUCUCGAUUUCAGGGUGUGCAUCAUUUUGGCUAUCCCUUGAUGAAUCUUCUUAUAGAUUUUCAUCUGCAUCAUCAUCAACAACAACUUUCUCCGAAGAAGAAGGGUUAGACUCAUUAAAUGUAACAUGCAUAGACUCUUCCACAACCAUAGUUCUUUUAUUAUACGCUCUAUAAGCUUUACUUGUAUUUGAAUAACCAAGAAAGAUGCCAACAUCAGAUUUUGGAUCAAAUUUACUAAGAUUUUCUUUUGUGUUUAAAAUGAAACAUUCGCAUCCUAAAACUUUGAAAUAAUCAAUGUUGUGUUUUCUAUCUUUCCAAAGUUUAUAAGGAGUUUUAUUGAGAUGAGGUCUAAUUAACACCCAAUUUAAAACAUAACAACCGGUGUUGACAGCUUCGGCCCAAAAAUAUUUUGGUAAAGUAUUUUAAUUUAACAUGGCCCUAACUAUUUCUUGAAUAGACCUAUUCUUUUUCUUAACAAUUCUAUUUUGUUGUGGAGUCCUAGGUGAUGAAUAUUAAUGCUCAAUGCCAAAAUAAUUACAAAAAUUCUCAAAUGCAUGAUUUUCAAAUUCUCCACUAUGAUCACUUCUAAUACACGUAAUAGAAUAAUCUUUUUCAUUUUGAACCUUUUUAUAGAAAACUCUAAAUGCUUCAAAGGAAUCAUCCUCGUUAGCUAAGAACAAUACCCAUAUAUAUCUAGAAUAAUCAUUCACAAUCACAAAUGCAUAAUAUUUGCCAUUUAAACUAGCAUAUCUAGAAGGUCAAAAUAAAACUAUGUGAAGAAGUUGAAGUGGUUUUGAAGUAGAAAUAUGAUUUUUGUUUUUUAAAGAAGUUUUGAUUUGUUUUCCAAAUUGACAAGCUCCAAAAAUUCUAUCUUUUUGAAAACCAAUUUUUGGAAGACUUUUAACUAAAUCAUUUUUUAAGAUUUUUGAAAUCAAAUCCAUACUUGCAUGUCCUAGUCUUCUAUGCCAUAGCCAAUCAUCAUCAUGCAAUGUCGAAAAGCAUUUAUCAUGAGUAGAUGCACACUAUAUCAAUUGUGUAAACAUUACCAUAUUUAUUUCCUACAAAUAAAAUCUUGCCAUCGCAUAUAACACAUCUAGAUUUAUCAAAAACAACUUUAUAACCUUUGUCACACACAAUUGACUAAUACUAAUCAAGUUGUGUUUCAAGUUUUCAACCAAACAAAUGUUUUUAAUAAGAAUUGAGGAAACUUUACCGACAUCACCAAUUUCGAGAAUUUUUUCCUUUUGAAUUGUCUUAAAAGGAAACAUCUCCACCGUUUUCGAUUUUGGUGAAACUUGAAAACCAUGCACAGUUUCCAAUCGUACACCUUGAACAACCAUUGUCCAAGUACCAUUUAUUUUUCUUCUUCUUCAAACCCUGCAGAGAAAAUCUCAAGUCUUAGGUACCCAAAACUUUUUAGGUCCUUAAGUGUUAGCUAUGGUUCUUUUUGGAACCCAAAUACAUUUCAUACCAUAAGAUGCAUUUCUUUUCACAUGACAUCUACUUUUCAUAAGACCAUGUUGAUUACAAUAAUGACAGACAACUUUAUUGUUAAUAGAUGUACUCUUUACAAAAGUAGUGUUUAUAAUGCUUUUGUUUCAAAUUUGGCUUAUAACCUAGUCCUCCUUUAUCAAACACAUUUUUUUUUAGUUAAGCAUGUUAUCCAACAUCUUUUGCCCAUUUGUAAAUUUUCAAACAAUCUCAUUUAACUCUUUGUUCUUCUUCUUAAGUAUUUCAUUUUCAAUUUUCAAGUCAUCUAUAUGUGAUUCUAAAUGCUCAUGUGAAGUGAUAGGUUUCUCAUUUGAUAAUACAACUCUAUCAUGCAAUGUUUUAUUCUCUAAUUUUAGGCAUGUAACUUUUGCACUUAGAAAUUCAUUUUCAUUUUUGAACUUUACCAUUUUCUUUUUAAGACAUACAUUUGUUUUUGCCAAUUUUCAUCCACUCAUCAUGCAACUCUUUAAAAGCAUCAUAUAAUUCAUCAUAAGUAGAAUCAUUUACCUAAUUGAGAUCAUCAUUAUCUCUCAUUGCCAUGAGUGCAAGGUUUGACACUUCUUACGAAUCUUCUUCAUCACUUGAUUCUUCAUCGCUAUCAUUCCAAGUAGCAACUAUGGCUUUCUUCUUGAGUUUAUUGAGAAGUGGACAUUUUGAUCUUAUAUGACCAGACAUUUUGCAUUCAUAGUGUUGUGCAAAUUUUAAUGUGCUCGCAAGCGCACGAAUCAAUUGUAGUAUAGAUCAAUGGUGACGAGUGUCGAUCCCACGAGGAGGUGGAUUUUAAUUAUAUGUAGAAUUAAUUUUGUAAAUGGGUGGUUGAAAUUGUAGUGGAAGUGAUUUAAAUUAUCCUCAAAUUGGAAUUGAGAUGGCGAUAAUAAAUUCUAAAAUUGGAAUUGAAAUGGCGAGAAUAAAUUGAAGUGAAAUCUAUUGAAAUGACGUACUUGGGUAUCUGGAUCCGUAUCAACAUGCAUCAUGGGCUAAAUAAUCCUUAUUAAUGCCAAUUAAAUCAUGAGGGGGUAAUCCACACCUCAUUAGCCACGCUCUAAUCAAUAUGGUGCUAAAGGCUUAUCGUGCCAAAUAAUAAUAACCUUGUACUAGAGGGCUGGUGAAACCAAGGCGAUACUAGACAAGAUUAGUAUUAUUUGUCGACGAGAAGUCAAAACAUCCACAAAAACUAGAGGGGAAGAGAAAAUAAAUUUACCAAAUAAAGCCUAUGACACAUGUUGAGACUUCACCUUCAACCCAAGUUUGAAAGAAAAUUAGCUACUCAUAAUUGAACUAGGGGCAAAAUGGGAAUUUAUUAAAAUACUUAGAAAAUACAAGAUGGAGAAGGAAUUACAUAAAAUAGAUCCCAAAAAUGGAUUCAGAGCUAUCAAAUUAGCGGGGAGAGGCCCCCUUUUUAUAGAUACAUGGAGUAGAUCAUGGCCAUCGAAUUAAAAACAGUUUUGACGCUUAGGAUUGCGCCACGUCAUCAGUCAACAGUACGCGGUUUGACCACGCGGAUGAAUAGUAACACGGUUUGACCUGGAUGAACAGUAACGCGGUUUGGUUGAAAAUAAUCCUGUGUGAUGCAUGUACCGUACGCGAGAUUUUUCGUCGACUGAUAUGCUGCCACGGCACCAUAAACAGUACAUAAGAAUUUUAGCCCAACAAGAUCGUGACACCUCAUCAGUCAAUGCCACAUCAUCGGUCAAUGCCACAUCAUCGAUCCGUCUAUGUGAACAGUGUCGUGAACAGUAACGUAGACAGUACCGUACACGUGAAUAGUACCGUACAUGUGAAUAGUGCCAUUUUUCCUUUUAUGCUCCUCCUAAGGUUUUCGACCGUCCUGAGUUUAAAAGUGAUGUCCGUUUUGCCGUCUGAUCUUUCCUUUAUUGUGAAAUGACUAUAAUGCCCCUAAAAUACAUAAAAUACUUAAUUAAAAUAAAACACAUGUAAUUAAAUCACAAGAAGGUUAAAUACAUAAAAGUAAAGGUUUUUAGUAAGACUUGAAAUGUAAAAUGACGGUUUUCUCCUUUAUAAAUAUGCAUUUUCUAACACUCAACACAUAGCAUAUGAUUACCUCUUUCUUCUCCUUUUGAUUCUUGAAGUUUCUAAAUUUUCUUCGCUCACCAAUUUCUUGAAAAAGUUUCUGAACCUCUUUGCUAGUAUGGCCAACUCCUCAUCAUCUAGUUCACUCUCCCCAUCACUCUCAUAUUUUGAAGCUUUGAGAGCAAUGCAUUUCUUCUUCUCCUCAUGCCCUUUCUCUGCUGCUAAGUCUUCUUCAUAUGAAAUAAGAGAGCCAAUUAAAUCAUUAAGGGGUAAAGUAUUUAAAUUUUUGGUCUCUUCAAUAGCAAUUCUCUUAGGUUACGUUUGACACCCUGGAUUGGAUUGGACUAAUUAUUAGGAUUGGAUUAAAUUAAGUUGGAUUGGAUUAAGCUGGAUUAUAUUAUGUGUUGUAUUAUGUUUGGUACAAUAUCAGAUUGGACAAUGUUAAAUCAUAUUUAAAUACAAAAAAUAUUUAUGAAUAUUUAAGAGUAAUAAUUAAAAUUAAUUUAAAAGUAAUUAACAAGAGCAUUAAAUAUGUAGUAAAUUAGUUAUUGGGUAGUCAUAAUUAUAAUAAACAAAUAUAAAUUAAUAAAACUAUUUAAUUAUUUAAUUAAUUUUUAUUAGAUAUUUUAGAUAUAUUUUAUUUUAUCAAAAAGUUAGCAAAUAAUGUAUAUAUAAAAUCAAUUAUUUACUUGUAUUAUUAAUUUUCAUGAUUAUUUUUAAUAUUACAUUGGUGAUUAUUAAAUUUAAUACAAUCAAUUAUUAUAACGAAUUAUUAAAUAGUUAAUUUUAUUGGAGUAAAAGUACCAAUUUAAUUAGACUAUAAAACAAAAUAAAAAAUAAAUUCAAGUAAAUCAUGAAUAAAAUAAAUAAAUAAAUAAAUAAAUUUUAGGUUUAAUUAAUUAAAUUUUAGGUUCCAAGUAAAAAAUAGUGCUAUUUAUGAAAGAAAUAUGAAUAAAUCUUUUUCUCUUAUCCUAAUCCCAUCUAAACCCACUUAUAAAUUGGGAUUGUUAAUCCCAUGAUUUAAGGACUAAAUUUAAAUUUAGUCCUUCCUAAUCCAAUCCAAGCAAAUAGCCAAAUAUGGGAUAAAAUAUUUAAUCCCAAAAUUAAUCCAAUCCCAUGCUUAAUCCUAACUCCCAAACAUGACCUUAGGUCUCAAUUCCUUUGGAAGUGACCUAAUGAUUUUUUUUUUACUUUCUCACUAGUUGAGAAAGUUUUUCCUAGAGCUCCUAAGGUGUUCACUAUGUCCGUAAAUCCAGUAUACNNNNNNNNNNNNNNNNNNNNNNNNNNNNNNNNNNNNNNNNNNNNNNNNNNNNNNNNNNNNNNNNNNNNNNNNNNNNNNNNNNNNNNNNNNNNNNNNNNNNACGGUUAAAUCCUAACAAGAGAACCAAGCUCUGAUACCAAAUGAAAUUCUAGUUAUGCAACUCAAGAGGGGUGGUGAAUUGGGAUUCUAAAAAUUAUUCAAUUCUAGAACAAAACUCAAUUCAAAUCUAAAACUAAUUUAAAGAAAUAACAAAUAAAUCAAUCACAAUAUAAAAAGAUAAGGGAAGAGAGAUUCAAACACGAAAAUUUUUACGUGGUUUGGCUAACCUCGCCUACGUCCACGCCUCCAAGCUUUCCGGGCUUGAGAAUUUCACUAAGCAAGCCACCAAGGCUUCAAAUGCUUACACUUGACUUCAAAUGUGUCAAUAAACCUUUACAACAAGAGAUUAUCCUCAAUCUCUUAACCCAAGUAUAUCCCAACACUUACAAUAACUCAAAAAAAAUUAUAAAUAUUGUUCUUCACUCACACAAUACUUAAGAUGGUUUGUUGUUUCAAAUAAAAUGGUUCACCGUUUAUUUCCAGAUUCAUAGUUUUACCUAAAACAUUGCAGGGAAUCAUUUUUCAAUUGAAAUUUGACAAUUAUUCAUCUUUUAUGAAUAUAAUUGGAAUGAUUAUAUAGCUUUUGUUUAUUAAUGAAUGGCUCCAACAUUUUAAUCAAAGUCAUUUAAAGUUUGUUAUUAUCAAAGUCAAUAUUAUGAACAUAUACAUGUUAACAGUUGUCACUUUCUCCCAUAUAAUCGUUAUCCUUCCCAUCAUCAUCCAUUUCGCUAGUGAUAGUUAAAGUACCAGUAUCAGAGGGAUCACCAGCUAGUUUAGAUGACUUAUCAUGCCGCACACUAGUUAAAUUGUCCUUAGCUUGGCCACUGGAGGAGGAAGUAGCGGAAUUGUUAUUGGUAGAGGCAACAAUGGUGAAAAGAGAUAGUAGAGUGGUAUAAAGGAUUGAGACUGUUUGGGACGACAGUGGGUACAUGGUGGCUAGUCUGGUUUACAUAGAUGUUUGUUUUGCAAUGUAAGUUGUAUGGGAGUUAUACGAGAGUAGCGUCAAUAGCAUCCGGUUGGUUGGCAAUGUUAGGGCCAUGAAUAAAAAAAUCCGCACAUAUGACAAUGCUUAGGUUGGAGGUGGAAUUUUGAUUUUUCUUUUUAAUAUGUUGAUUUCUAAGGAAGAGUAGAAUAGUGGUACUGUUAGAGGUUGGCACAUUACAAUUCAUGGUAAUUGGAUACGACUUAUUAAUACCAUGAUUUGGGUCUUCUUAAUUGAUGCUGGCAAGAAUACCAAAUCGCGAUUCCUUGCCAAAAGAUCCCCAGUGACCACACUCAGAAUCACGACCAAGUUCUCUUGCCUUAUCAAUAUGGGGUUUCCCUUUCUUGGAAACCACCAUCCAUGGCCUAAGUUUAGGGAUACUCUGGUUAUCAUCACUGGUUUUAUUAACCAUCUGCUUGCCGGAGAUGUUCACAUGUUGAUUUAGCUCCCCUGGGUUACCAUUUUCCUCUAUGUGAUUAGGGCAAGACUCUUUAUUAUGGUAAUAUUUUUCACACCGGAAACAAAUAUUAAGAAGACUUUCAUACUCCACCUUCUGAGUUUUUCCAUCCAACAAAAACUAUGAAACAAGAGGUUUUUUAAGAUCAAUUUCAACCACAAAUACGAGCAAAAUUUCCUCUUAUUGCUGACUUGAUAUUAUAAUCAAUUCUGAUAACUGAUCCAAUUAUCUAGUUGAGUAUAUGAUGAAUUUUUUAUGAUAAUAAUGUAGAGCCAUGCCCAACAGGCAGAUCCAAGCUAUAAUCGAAUCAGUUUCCUCCUUAGAACUAUCAAAGUGAGGGGUUCAUAGUUGCACCGUUAAAUAGUGGCCUAAAAUUGUCCAAGGACCAAGAGUCAAAGCAAACUCGGCAUCACCGUUUGAUUUAAAGCGGACAACAUAAAAAUUAUUCUCAAGGUCAAUGAUAGAGAAACCAAGGGUCGAACUCCAAGUUGCUUCCAGGCGAUUGCAGAGAGCUCAAUACCCUAUGUGACGUCACAAUAGCUUGACAACAACCGUAUGAUGCGAAGGCUUGAUAAGUUGGUCGUGAAGCUUUUGGGAGAAAGAGAUGAAGUGUAAAUUAUCAGCACAUUAAAUUACCACAUUGUGUUAAUAAAAAAUCAAGUCAUCAUCAUGGCCAAUUAGAUCUGCUUCAACUUCCCUUGUGAUUCCAUGAGUAUAUCCUUAAAGGAGAUAUGCUCAGGGUUGUCUCUAUCCUCACGUUGAGGCCUAAAUUUUGCUUUUUUGGUAGAUCGAUCAUCAUUCAUUGGGUGAACUAAAGAUUUUUACUGCUUGUAUCAUAGUUUUUCAAAAUAAAUGUACACAUAUUAUAGCAUCAUUUUCUUAUUAUAUAUUGAAAAGUAGAAUUCAUUUAUUCAUUAUAUUAAGCUGUAAAUAUAUCUUUCUAUAUGUAUUCCUAAAUUACAGUAUACUUUGAUUGCAUAGCUUAAUUAUAGGGAUCCUAGCUUAACUAUAGGAACUAAUGGUUAUGUAUAACAAGUCAGUCGUAUGUGUAUAUAUACUCAAUUAAAUGUCAAUAAAAUUAAUUCUGCCCAUUCUACUUUUCGCUCAUAUUUACAUUCUAUCAGAGCAAGGACUCGCUACACUUUAAUCUCUCGGGUAGCAUAUCUCUUUCAGCCAUCAUGGCCCUUGAGGAUACUCCUAAAACUAACAGUUCUUAUCUACAAAAAUCAGAGAUUUCUGCAGAUUCCUACAAGGCAGAUCUCUCCAAUCCUUUCUUUACUCACCAUUCGCCAAGCCUACUCUUCAAUCUCCCAAAAAGAGAAACUGCGCCUCCUCAGUUCAGCGCAUACAAGCAUCGAUUCAAGCAGCAGCGCUGCCGCCAUGACUGUACGCAGCAAGUUGAUUCCUUCGGCAAUAGGAAGAACCGAACAAACUUGCUCUCAUGGGUUCCCAGAUUCUCACGAUUGAACAUACUCUUAGGCGUAAUAAUUUGCAGGACCUCAAGAUGGAGAUCAGCGUCGAUCUAGCUCUGGGAGAGGUAGGCCUUUGUGUGACCACUGUGGAAAUUUCAGCCACUGGAUCCAGAAAAGCUAUAAGCUGCAUGGAUACCCACCAGGCCAUCUUAAAGCUAAAAUUAACUCAGGCCGAAAUUCAAAUCGGCAUAAAGGCAUUUAUGUGGCUAAUCAAUUUGGAGAGGUGUCAAACACAAAUGAAGGCUCACUUACAAUAUCCGAUGUUCAACUCAAGCAACUUUUGUCACUCUUGAAUAAUCAAAAUGAAGGUUCUCACUUCAAAGAAAAUGGGGUAACAAACCCAGGUUUGUUUAAGAUUGCUUCCCUAAAUUGGAUUAUUGAUAGCGGGGCGACAUAUCAUAUUACUUCAUCAUCUAAUUUAUUGCAUAAAGAUAACAACUGCUCGUUACCGUCCACGUUGUUGCCUAGUGGAGAAUGAGCAAAUAUUGUUGCAAAAGGGUCUUUACCUCUCAAUUACGUCUAUUAUCUGCAUGAUGUGUUAUCUGUGCGUACAUUUAAUGUUGAUUUGAUGUUAGUUAGUCAUUUGACAAGAGGUUUGAGUUGUUCAGUGACGUUUUUCCCUUCUUGGUAUAUUUUGCAGGAUCUGAUUAUGAAGAGUACAAUUGGUUUAGGUAAAUAAUGAGAUGGGCUAUAUUUUUUUGUGGCAUUAGCGACAAAGCAAUCUGUGACAAAACCUUCCUCACCAAACAACCGACCAACCUGCAACCUCACUAUCUCAUCCACCGACCUCUCGCAUAAUCGCUUAGGCCAUGUAUCAUAUUCUCGUUUAAGUUUUAUUGCCGCCAAGAACUUUUUGAAUUUUUUUGUUAAGUCUAAUAAUCCAUGCCCCAUAUGUCCGUUGGCUAAGCAAAGUCGUUUUCCUUUCAAUAACAAUGUUAUUUCUUCUACAAAACCUUAUCGACACCCUUCCCUUACCGAAGCUUGUUAUUUCCUCACUAUUGUUGAUGAUUAUACUCGUUCUACAAGGAUUUUUUUUAUGCGACACAAAAAUGAAGCACAAUCUCUUUUAAAAAGCUUCUUUAGCUAUGUUUCCACUCAAUUUAACCGUCACAUUAAAACAUUUCGAAGUGACAAUGAUGGAGAAUUUAUCUCACUUCGAUCUUUCUUUCAAGAUCAUGGUGUUGUUUUCCAAACUUCAUGCAUUUACACGCCUCAACAAAACGAGGUUGUGGAACGCAAACAUCAUCAUAUCUUACAAGUAGCCCGAGCAUUAAAGUUCCAAGCACAACUACUAACCCAAUUUUGAGCUGAAUGUGCACUCACUUCUGUACACAUCAUCAAUAGGUUACCUUUACCUGUUAUUUCUUUCAAAAUUCCUUGGGAACGUCUCUAUUCAAAACCGUCUUCCUUUCCCAUCUCCGUGUUUUUGAGUCUUUGGCCUAUGCCACUAAUGUUCACACUUCUCACAAAUUCGACUCUCGUGCUCAUAUUUGCAUACGAAAUUAAUUCUGCCCAUUCUACUUUUCUCUCAUAUUUGCAUAAUAUAGUUGAUAUAAUACCUUUGAUAUAUUUUAAAAUUUCUCGAGCCUAGCUUUUGGCAUAACUUCAAGGAUAGAUUUGUGAAUUUAGAAAGAGAAUUAGAAAGGGGUUUCUUCUUGUAAAUUAUUCUUUCCAAAGUUUUUAACAAUAAAGAAAUCAAUGUAUUUUUAGUUGGAAUUAAGCAAUUAGGAGGUUGAACGAUCAAAACCUGUGUGUACUCAUCUUUAUAUUUUGAUCUGUUUCUUUUAUUAUUCUUGCUUCGAUUCUUGUGAGCGUCAUCUUGAUCUUGGGGUGUUUAAUUUGUAUUGUAAAAAUAUAUUCAAACCCAACAUAAAAGAGAAAGGCCUUUUUUUUUUUGGGUUGUUAUUCCCAACUUUGUUUAUAAUCAAAAUAAAAAGUCCUUUUGAUGCUUCAAACGCUAGGCCAAGUUCUAUUAAUUGUAGCGUUGUUGGGUGACCGAGGCUUCUUAGACAAACAUAAACUAGAGAACCGACGUCUUGUAAAUCAUGCCACUAUAAACAUUUGGUCUUGUGCACCAAAUUUUAUCCCCUCAUACGUUUCGAAAUUCUUUGCAUAGGCUUUUCCAAUUCCUCAAAUGUUUUCACCUAACCCUAAUGUCUUUGUGAAAUUAUUUCGUAUCUCUAAUGAUCCCACAUUGACAGCACUAGGUAGCUGAGCUAGAUGUGGGAAUUAACAUAAAGUGGCCUUGUAUCAGAUGGCUUCCCCCCCUUAAUAAUCCCCCCGGAUGGACAUUAGUCUUGACUUUUUGAAAGGAACCCAUCAAUUGAACUUAAUUGGAGUCUUUGGACUGACCAGAUUCUGGUCUCCUCAAACUUAUCUGCUUGAGGUUAUUAGGUUACCUCUUGGUGGAGAAGGCCUGCUCAAGGUCACCAAAAUCACCUCUUGGUCGAGGUGGUCUACUCAUGGUAUUAAGAAUUACCUCCUGGUCAAGGUGGUUUGUUCGAGGCCAUCAAGGUUACCAUCUGGUCAAUGUAAUCUACUCAAUGUCACUAAAUAAUAUCUUAGUUGAGAUCAUCAAAAUUACCACCUGAUUGAGGUCAUCUGCUCGAAGUCACUAGAAUUUUCUCUUAGUAGCCUAUCAACUAUUUGCUCACUCUUUACCUCGAUGAGAUCAUGAUCAUCCUAUUUUAUUCCCCAAACAAUUGUUGUUGUAAUUAAAUUACUAUUUGCUACAAAAUGACUAUUAGCAAGUGAUGUAAGGUAGCUCACAUUGUAAGAAAAAAUAAACCAGUUAGAUUCUCGAGAAAUAUUAGAGGGUUACAAGUGGUCUUACUUAAAAUUUAGAUUCUUUAAAUAAUGUAUGAUGAAGUAUUGUGAAAGCUGCUUAACCAAAGCUUUUAACCAACACUCUCCGAGAUCCUCGAUUAGAAUCAACAAGAUGCUUAAGAGAUUAUAUGAAUUGCUAAUAAAGAAUCUAUGUAUGAACAAGAUGAUGACUAAUUCAAAAAAGAUCAAAGAAUUAGCCAACAAAUCAAAGAAUCAUAAAACAAAGCUAUUAACGUGGUUCAUGCAAUUUGCAUUGACCUACAUUCAUGAGGGACCAAGAACACCUCUCUCAAACAAGCUAUCUCUCACACUGGAAUUAGCCGUAUAAAUAGUUUUAAUGAACCCAGAAACUUUUCCAGAAACGCACGUGUUUACCAUGUGAAUUAACGGCCUCAUAACAACUUUUACAAGUCACGUGCGCUGCACAUGCUUUAUAAAACUAAAAAUGGCAAAGCUUUUGGUCGUUUAAGCUAGCAAACUUAAUACACAUCAAAACAUAGAUCUUGCAUGUCGUUUUGCCUUCGUCAUGGACAUACCAAAAACACAAAUCACCUCUGUCGUUUUGAUCUCUUUAAUUUGCUUCAUGAACAUAUGACCUUUAUGAUAAAACCUUUCUAAGCUAUUUGAGCUUACUAAUAAACAACUUAUAUGUCAUAUGUUUAUAAUAACAAAUUGAUAUAGCAUAUAUUAUUAAUUAUAAAUUACAAUAAUAUGUGAUAAUAAAUAUAAAAAUAUAACUAUGACGUUUGGAAAGGUACAAUGUUUUUAAAAAAGAUUCGCCACCUUUUCAGCGGUGCUUAGAUUUUAUUAGUACCUAUCUUCUAGGAUUAUUGAAUUUAGAUAAUCUCAAUAGCACAAUCUUACAAUUUUAGUGAACUUCAAAUAAGUAUUCAAUUAAGUGUUUGAAUUUUAUCACAAGUGCUACAGAGAAUUUGUUUUAGAGGGAGGAGGAAAAAUCACUUUGACUAAAGCAUUACCGAAACAAGGUCUCUCCAGAGAUUUAUAAGAGAUGUGGUUUCCUUCAGAGCCCGCAAUAAGCACCUAUGACACUUCCCGUUCCAGCAGAAACUCUUCUGAGCUCGCAAUUAUGAUGUUCAUCAUGUCGAUGUUGUCUUUCAAAGACAGAGAGGCUGCUGUUGCCGACGUACUAUAAAUUAUUUUUAUGCUGCUGAAUAAGAAAAUUACUACUAGUACUGAAGAGAAACCGACGAAGACAAAAUUGUUGGCUCGUGGUCAUGAUCAAUGGAUUAAAUGAUUUCUUUCUUAAUCCUAUAUUCCCAUGUAUGUAGGGAUGGCAAUUGUACCCGCAAACCCGCCCAAACCCACCCGCCAAAACCCGUCCGUUGUGGGUAAUUUUACCUGUUGCGGGCGGGUUUAGUAUUAUAAAUUAAAACCCGCACAUGGAUGCGGGUGGGUUUGGUAUUAACCUUAUAUCCGGUGGAUACCCGCAUGGAUAUCCACCAAACCCGCAAUAUUUUUUUCAAAUAUUUUUAAUUUAAUUUUAAUCUAAAAAUGCAUAAAGAAAAUAAUGUAUUUAAUCAAAUUACCAAAUAGCCAAAUGCUCAAAGUUGUGUAUGUGUGUAUGUGGUCCAUCUCUUAUUCUAAAGUCAUAACCUAAAGAAAACUAAAGGCAUUUUCCUUCGAAUUAGUAUUUGAAAAUAUUAAUCUUAAUUAUUAUUAUAGGCAUUGUGUUGGAUGGGUGCUUAUGGUGGUGAAUGAAAUGAAUAUCUUCUCUUGGAGCUUGUUUUAAAUGAUAAUAUGAAAUGUAAUUAUUAUUUUUAGAUACUAGUUUGUGUUUUUUAAAUGGAUUUGUGUAAUUUAUACUUAAAUUUGAGAAUUUGUGUUGAAUUGAUGUGGAAAUUUUAAUUUUUCAUUUACAUAGUUUAAAUAUAAUAUUGAAUAUGUUAUAUGGAAUUUGAGGUUAUUAUUAUAAAUUUAUAUAUUAAACAUAUGUGAUUUUAAAUACAGAAACCCGCAAAAAAUCCGCCGGAUACCAUUGCGGGUUUGGUAAUUGUUAAAACCUGCUGCGGGUGGGUUUUUUUAAAAAAAUUAAAACCCGCUGCAGGUUGCGGGUGCAUUUGAUAAUUUAAAUUUUAUGCGGGUUUGGGUUUGGUAAUGGCAAACCCGCUGCGGGUAGUGCCCAUUGCCAUCCCUACAUGUAUGUAUGAGUCGUCAGUUUCUGUAGAAGUACUAAAAAAAUAACUUGCGUUAGAAAAAAUAAUAAAUAAAGAGAUAAUUAAUGGAUAAUAAAUGAAUGGCUUAAAAUUGUUUUUGUCCUUCAAUUGACUAGCAUCAUAGCCUUCAUUUUCGGUCAAUAACCUUUAUCAAUAGUCUAGAGAGAAAUUUUAAAAUAUCUUUGAAGUAUCAUGUCAUAUAUAUAUAUAUAUAUAUAUAUAUAUAAAAGUAGAUAAUAUUAUAAUACGUGCGUAUUUAUUUUUAAAGAAUUAAUAUAUAAUGAUUAAUUAUAUAAAAUUUAAUAUAUAUAUAUAUAUAUUCUAAAAAAUGCAAAUUAACUGCCGACCCAUUCGAUCAAUCAAGUUGUAACUAGUUAGCUACAUAGCCAGUGACAUAUGGUGGACCUCUCGAUUGUCGCUGUGAUGGCCAUGAUCAGCACAAUUCACGCAUAAUGAUAAUGUUGUGGUGGGAAAUAAUAACUGACUUGCUCAAGUCGUCGCGGGUGGCGGCGUUCAACUUUUCAAAGUCUCGUGCAGAAAACAUACGAAAGCAUUUGUUUUCAACAGUAGACUUUUUUUUUGUUCUUUAUAGAGCUAAUUAUACCAUAAGCUUUCCAAUUGGACUAGAAUUGCUUAGCAAGCCUGUUUUAAAAAGUUCAAUUUUAAGAUUCACCGGAAAAAUAAUUUUGUAACGAUUUCCAAUUUUGUUCUUAUCUUCAUUGAUUGUACUUUGAAUGGAAAUUCUUUCACACGUUCUCGCCUUUAUUGUUUGUUUUGUCUCCAUCCAUGGAAUUUCCUCCAUGGAAAUGAAUGAUAACCAAUAUCCGGUGGCCCUUCAGAUUUACAAAGACUUGCAUAUGCAAUUGCUACGAAUUAAUUAAUGGUUAUAUCUUUUUUUUUUAAUUUUAAUUCAAUGGUUUCAUCACACAGCAUUUAACUGAAUUGAAGAUUCUUCAAUGGCCUAAAAUAAUUACAUUUGUUUUUAAAACGAUAAUUCGAGUUGUACCCAAUUAUGAUCUAGAUGAUUGUUGUAGAAUCAGACAGAAAAGCUCUCAUCAUGAUUAAUUCUCUCCAAGGAAAAAAAUUUAAAGAAUAUAUAAUUUAAAGUAAAACCCAACUAGAUAUCGAGAGACAAAUUAAUCUAAACAAUAUAUGUAUUCAGCUUGUCACAAAACUAAUUAAUUAAAACUAUCCUGUAAUGUAUGGCAUAUGGUCACCUUUGGUAUGCAACUCCCUCAGUAGGACGCAUAGCUAUCUAAAAAGGUUAUUUUGUUAAUGGAUGAUAAGGUCUGUACCAUAACAGAGCUAUCUGUUAUAUAUAUAUUAUUACUUUAUUAGUGCCUUUUCAUUGAUAAAAAGGGUAAGAAUAGUAUAACAAAGGAUUAAACUCAGACACAUUCUGAAGUCAACUCAAUUACAAACAAGAUGCAAAAAAAGAAAAAUCUAAGCUAGCACUUAAGGAGGCUAAUAUGAUUUAGCAAUAUCUGAUCAUCAUGUAUCAUCUCCCUUUUGGAUUCAGGAUCUCGGAGAACACAGCUCCAGUAUACUUAUUAGAACUUCCAGUAGAAAGACUUUGAUCAUCAGUAGCAGUAGUAGUUGAUAUGGUAACCGUACUAAUGGUUUUUGAAUCUGAAAGUACAUGUUCACCAACACCAGAGAACAUGGAACAACUACCAUCGGUUUCGUAGUUGUCCAAAAUUUUUUCUUCCUCCUGAUUCUCAUCAAUCUCCUUUGCAAUUGCAAUACUAUUUUCCUGCAGCUGCAAUGCGAACUCAAGUCCCCAAACCACAUCGCUCAUCGAGGGCCGUCUGAUUCCUUCAUCAAUCAAGCAGCUCAUCGCUACCUCAGCAAAUUUGUUCAAACACUCUGGCUUUAUCUUACCCUUCAAGAAUGGAUCAACAAUCUGGUCAAUUGUUCCAUUUUGAUAACAUUGUUGCGCCCAAACGGCUAAACUCACUUGUUUCUUAUCUGCUGUCCGAAGAAUAGGUGGCCGAGCACACAAUACUUCGAACAACACAACACCGAAUGAGUAGACAUCAGAUUUUUCAGUAAGCUGCUGAAGUCGGUAGUACUCAGGAUCUAAGUAUCCGACACUGCCCUUAACAACCGUACUCACAUGAGUUUUGGACACCGAAGUUGGUCCAAAUUUGGAGAGUCCGAAAUCAGAAACCUUGGCCACCCAUUUCUCGUCUAACAAGAUGUUGGUUGUCUUCACAUCACGAUGAAUGAUAACAGCAUGGUUUGCCCCAGUAUGCAAAUAGUGAAGCCCACGAGCUGCACCAAUGCAGAUUUCAAGCCUUUGAUUCCAUGGAAGAGAGGGAUUGUCGCUAUGGUAGAGAUGAUCACGUAGAGUCCCACGAGCCAUGAAAUCGUAUACAAGGAUCAUCUCCCUGCCAUCGUUGCAAUAGCCGAUGAGAGAGACUAAGUGAAGAUGCCGGAGCUGCGAGAGCAUUCCUAUCUCAGUUUGGAAUUCCAGGGCGCCCUGUUGCGACUCUGGUUCCAGUCGUUUGAUGGCAACAGGGGUAGUGCUGCCAUUGAUGAAGCCUUUGUAGACAUUACCAAAUCCUCCAACUCCAAUUACGAGAUCAUUGUCGAAGUUGUUUGUAGCCGCUUGGAUUUCAGAUAGAGAAAAUUGGGUGCAAAGAUCGGAAGGAAGGAAUGAGCCGCGUGAUGACUUGGUUGCCUUGACAGUCUUAGAAGAAAAAAAAGUCCCCAAAAGUGAAGUACCUGUACCGGAACCCGAGUCCUUGACUUUUCUUCCUCUCCAGAAAAUUAACAACAAUAGUAGAGAUAGCACACCAAAGCCUGAUAUAACACCAGCAACGAUCCCGAUUACAUUACUCUUCUUAUUCGAUUUUGUUGUUGGAGACACAUCUAAAUUAGGUGGGAUCGUCCGACGUUCAGGAUUAGGUCCGGCUAGAUUCCCAUUGUUGUCCACUUUAAAGAUUUCAAGGCCGUUCAAGAUAGCAUCAGAGUAUUUGGUCCUCCAUCUGGGGGCAGGGUGCAGUUGAAUAGAAAGAUUCUGCUUCAUAUUUUCUUCAUUUGGUUUUGAUCCUAUCAUCACAGCAUAAUCUCUAUAUAUGGGAACACCAUUCGCACCACUCCAAGCUAUCACAUCUGCUUGAACUUCAGCAGUUAAAUUAGCAAUGAAGAUCUGGAACAUCCUAUCGCCCUCUUGAGUUACCUCUAUUUGAAACUCACAAAAAUGAAGCCUCAGAAAAUAUGUAAAGCCGGAAUCCACUUCGAACUCCCAAGUGAGAUUAUACUUCUCGUUGAUUUCCCUGUGCUGCCCCAUCGUCCUGGCGGUGGUGUAGACCACAUCUGGAGCAGAGUGAGUACUUUUCCAAGUGAGAUGAAUACUCUGGUUAACGGGAAGAGCACUUGGUCUGGCAUCUGUCAAGUAGGGGUCGUCCAUAUACCAAGUUCGGUACAUGCCGCCGGUGUCGUAUGACGGUGAGAUUUGUUGCCCGCCGACGUUUAUCCGGUAUAAAUUCGCCAGAGCAUUUCUGUUUAAGAUACUGUAUGUGAUGUCCUGGCCAACAAACUUGAACCCCCGGCUGGGAUCAUCGGCCGCGGUGUAAUAGAAAUUGAGGGGCAUGGAUACAAUCUCAAUUCCAUUGAUAAAAGCAUAUGAAUCAUUGUAAUCCGGACUUGGAGUGAAGGUUAUGUUCAAUAGCCUCUGAUCGUCUUCGAUGUUAAUGCAGAAUUCUUUGAAAAAGGGAUGGCCGUUGCCAUCUGCUGUAAGUGAAGCGCUAAAGUUUCUUAACAGAGUGAAAGAAGCUGCUUUAACAGAGAAGAAAGCUGCAGAGGGGUUGAACCCUGGUUUUGAAAUUGGAUUGAAAUGCAGGCGGAUGAACUUUUGACCGGCGGUGACGUUGAAUAUGUAGGUGAAUUGCGAAUGAGAAACGCGUGAUUUUGAAUAUGGGACUUGCUUAUUUUCAGUGACGGUUGUUGAUUUGGGAGCGGAUGCGUCUUCAUGUGGGGAGUAUUGAGAGUUAACAUCUCCAACCCAAGUCUGGCCGGGA